CAGCAGGCGCGCAAAUUACCCACUCCCGGCACGGGGAGGUAGUGACGAAAAAUAACGAUACGGGACUCAUCCGAGGCCCCGUAAUCGGAAUGAGUACACUCUAAACCCUUUAACGAGUAUCCAUUGGAGGGCAAGUCUGGUGCCAGCAGCCGCGGUAAUUCCAGCUCCAAUAGCGUAUAUUAAAGUUGUUGCGGUUAAAAAGCUCGUAGUUGGACUUGUGUCCCACGCUGUCGGUUCACCGUUCGUCGGUGUUUAACUGGCAUGCCCGUGCGGACGUCCUGCCGGUGGAUGCGGUCGGCCGUGGGCCUUUGGUCUGCGUGUCGGCGGUCCGAUGCAAUCCUACCGCGGUGCUCUUCACCGAGUGUCGAGGUGGGCCGGCACGUUUACUUUGAACAAAUUAGAGUGCUCAAAGCAGGCAGUGGUUCGCCUGAAUAUUGUGUGCAUGGAAUAAUGGAAUAGGACCUCGGUUCUAUUUUGUUGGUUUUCGGAACCUGAGGUAAUGAUUAAUAGGGACAGACGGGGGCAUUCGUAUUGCGACGUUAGAGGUGAAAUUCUUGGAUCGUCGCAAGACGAACCUAAGCGAAAGCAUUUGCCAUGAGUGUUUUCAUUAAUCAAGAACGAAAGUUAGAGGUUCGAAGGCGAUCAGAUACCGCCCUAGUUCUAACCAUAAACGAUGCCAGCUAGCGAUCCGCCGAAGUUCCUCCGAUGACUCGGCGGGCAGCUUCCGGGAAACCAAAGCUUUUGGGUUCCGGGGGAAGUAUGGUUGCAAAGCUGAAACUUAAAGGAAUUGACGGAAGGGCACCACCAGGAGUGGAGCCUGCGGCUUAAUUUGACUCAACACGGGAAACCUCACCAGGCCCGGACACCGGAAGGAUUGACAGAUUGAUAGCUCUUUCUUGAUUCGGUGGGUGGUGGUGCAUGG
rnacentral:rRNA from 1 species